rnacentral:lncRNA from 1 species
AUGACCCUAGCUCCCUGUCUGGCCACUGGGGCCACCCACCCCUGCACCUCCAACCCUGGGUGGUUGUCCCAUGUGUCUACUGUGGGGGAGAGUGUGGCAUCUGGGUGUCCCAUCUGCAGCCAAAGCACAGCGCGCCCACCCCAGCCUGCACCCGCCCAGCCUGCGCCCGCCCUGGCCCGGGGUCCCCAGCCCCAGGUCUUGUGGGCCCCUCCCUGCUGCCCUCACCCUGUCCUGUUUGGCCACGUCCACGGUCACCGCUCCACCCUUCCCUCUUUGUGUGCCCGUGGCCUCCGGGCUCCUCCCGCGGCUCAGCGGGGGCCCUGCUCUUGUUCUUUCCUCCUGGCCUCCAGAGCGGGUUCUCACGAACGCCACUUGCCUGGUCUGAAGUCCUUCCCGCCAGCCUCAGCAUGGACUCACAGCUCCCGGGGGGCGUCCUCCUCUUCCCCUGCGGAGCGUGGGUGGGGCAGGGGGCCGAGCUGUCCCGGGCUCCCCAGUGGGGUCGGAGAAACUGGGACUAAGCCCACCCCAUGGGUGCAGGCAGCUGCAGCUGGUGGGUGCUCAGCCCGCCUUCCCCAGUGCUGCGCGGCGGAGUGGGUGAGCUGCUGUCACGGCCCACACUGCCCUUCUUCACCCAGCCCACCUGCGAGUCCCACUGGGGUCUGCUCCCUGCUCCAGGGCCAUCUCCCCCCGAAAGAGGGGGCGGUCUCUGCUCCUGCUGCCUCCCAGAAGACCUGGGCUAACCCUCUGCACUGCCUGCCUCGGGCUACAGCGAGCCAGGGGGCAGCCAGCGGCACUGCCGAGGGCAGCCAGGUGCUCUCGGGACCUGAUGGGCCUGGCCUGGCACUGCCCCGCACAGCCACCCGGCUCACGUUUCCUGGAGGAGGAAGCGAGGGUGCAGAGAUGUCCCUCGCUUUGCCCCGAGGCUGGGGUGCUUCAGAGCCGGGGUGGCGCCCCGCUAGUGAGAGCCCCAGCCUGGGUGCCCGUGGCCGACCCCGCAUCCACACCUGGUAG